UUAAAGUGAUAGUUCACCCAAAAAUUAAAAAUUAAAACAAAUAUGUUCAACAUAAGAUAGAAACAGGGUUGGAACAACAUUGAGGGUGAGUAAAUGUUGACAGAAUUUUCAUAUUUGGGUGAACUAUCCCUUAAAGGCUUAAAGGGCAUUUUCCCCUUCAUUGAAAGCAAGAUAAUGUUGUGUAUCCUUUCAUGCUUUACAGUGCUCAUGUUUUAUUUGUUUUGUUCAUUGUGAAGGUCAUUGAUGGCUCUCCCUUGUUCCCACCUGCAGCCCCCUGCAUCCCUUUUGUCUCUAUGCUUGUUUGAUAUCUGUACCCAUUAAUCCUCCCUGAACUACACUGGACCCAAAGAAGCAAAGAGACAUGAAAUUAAGAGUUAGAUCAGUGAGAUCAAGGGUGUACUGAUCUCCCUAGACAAAGACUUCUCACCAAUAUCAAUGCAUCUCUGCUUGGCCGUGUGCUGUCUUGAGUGCCAGUAUUUCCAGUGCUUGAGUUGGUCAUCUCUGGAUUUCUCCUCUCCAAACACUACCAUCACAACACUCUGAAAAACAACAUGGUGUUACUGGUUUCUAUUAAUGUACACACACUCUCAAACAAGUACCUGUACAUUCAGUGAUCCAAAAUGUAUUUACACUUAAAUCUAUAGUAAUUAUGAAGUAAGCUACAUUAAUUUCCCUUUUUUGGGAGGUUAAUUAGUGGGGUUAAUUAGUUUACUUUUAGUGGUUGCAAAGUACAAUGUGUAAAUAAAUGUAUUAUAUAAAUCUUUGUUGUUGUGUUUUUUAGUAAUGCGUAGAUGAAGUGUCCAAAAUAAUUUGGGGCAAAAAAUAAAUAAAUAAUAAUAAUUAAAUAUAUUUUUUUGUUUUUUUUGCCCCAAUUUAUUUUGGCCGCAGUUCAACAGACGCGGCAGCGCGAGGCGCACGUGAACUAAGCAUCGCCUCCACAUUAAUACCAUUUUCAGCACAAAAAUAAACAUGAGUCAUGACUAAACAUCCAAAGAUGGGGCCAUGCAGCAGUUUGCCAUUGUCCAUUUCCCUGAGGGUGAUGGGAUAGAACUGGCCCUUGUUGAGGGUCAAUGCUGAAAUUUGUUACAAAAGAGGAUUAAGCGGUCCUCUCAAGCACUGCUCCAGAGGGAAACAGCAGCUGCACAAUCACUGAC